rnacentral:rRNA from 1 species
ACGCUGGCGGCAUGCCUUAUACAUGCAAGUCGAACGAGAAAGUCACUUCGGUGGCGAGUACAGUGGCGCACGGGUGAGUAACGCGUAGAUGAUCUACCCUUCAGUCUGGGACAACUCUUGGAAACGGGAGCUAAUACCGGAUAAAACCUUCGGGUUGAAAGAUUUAUCGCUGGGGGAUGAGUCUGCGUACCAUUAGCUUGUUGGUGGGGUAACGGCCUACCAAGGCGACGAUGGUUAGCGGGUCUGAGAGGACGAUCCGCCACACUGGAACUGAGACACGGUCCAGACUCCUACGGGAGGCAGCAGUAGGGAAUAUUGCGCAAUGGGGGCAACCCUGACGCAGCAAUGCCGCGUGAGUGAAGAAGGCCUUCGGGUCGUAAAGCUCUUUUAUGGGGGAAGAUGAUGACGGUACCCCAUGAAUAAGCACCGGCUAACUACGUGCCAGCAGCCGCGGUAAUACGUAGGGUGCGAGCGUUGUUCGGAAUUACUGGGCGUAAAGGGCGUGCAGGCGGAUUGGCAAGCCGGAGGUGAAAGCCCGGGGCUCAACCCCGGAGGGUCUUUCGGAACUGCCAGUCUUGAGAGGGUCAGGGGCCAGCGGAAUUCCUGGUGUAGAGGUGAAAUUCGUAGAGAUCAGGAGGAACACCGGCGGCGAAAGCGGCUGGCUGGGGCCACUCUGACGCUGAGGCGCGAAAGCGUGGGGAGCAAACAGGAUUAGAUACCCUGGUAGUCCACGCCGUAAACGAUGGGCACUAAGCGUCCGACGGGUUCGACCCUGUUGGGUGCUGCAGUUAACGCGUUAAGUGCCCCGCCUGGGGAGUACGG